rnacentral:rRNA from 1 species
GAGUAACACGUGACUACCUGCCCUUGAGUGGGGGAUAACUUCGGGAAACCGAGGCUAAUACCGCAUAAUAUCGUGAGAUCAAAGGAGCAAUCCGCUGAAGGAGGGGGUCGCGGCUGAUUAGCUAGUUGGUGAGGUAACGGCUCACCAAGGCGAAGAUCAGUAGCCGGCCUGAGAGGGCGCACGGCCACACUGGAACUGAAACACGGUCCAGACUCCUACGGGAGGCAGCAGUGGGGAAUUUUGCGCAAUGGGGGAAACCCUGACGCAGCAACGCCGCGUGGAGGAUGAAGUCCCUUGGGAUGUAAACUCCUUUCGAUCGGGACGAUAAUGACGGUACCGGAAGAAGAAGCACCGGCUAACUCUGUGCCAGCAGCCGCGGUAAUACAGAGGGUGCAAGCGUUGUUCGGAAUUAUUGGGCGUAAAGGGCGCGUAGGCGGUGCGGUAAGUCUGUGGUGAAAUCUCCGGGCUCAACUCGGAAAUUGCCAUAGAAACUGCCGUGCUGGAGUGUGGGAGAGGUGAGUGGAAUUCCCGGUGUAGCGGUGAAAUGC